rnacentral:lncRNA from 1 species
UAAGGGCUUUACUCAUGCCGCUGAGUCUGACCUCAGGUCUUCCAGGAGCUUAGAUCCUGCUGCACAGAACAUGAAAGAUGGACCCGUCAAGGAGAAGAGAGGAAUCUUCUGGGGAGUAUGGGGGAGCAGAGCAUGUGACCCCUGUGCAGCUGCUUCCUCUUAGAGUUUUCACCCAUGAAUCACACAUUCAACUUCCCGGAAGACGCAGGACGGCCCGACCUACAGAGCAGUAUGUAAGAAGAGAAGUAACCAGAUUCUACCUGCACUCUUGCCAACCCUAGAAGUUGCUAGGUUCAGGGCUAGGGUCUGCUGGGAAGGCUCAGGAAGACAGGAUGGCAUGGACAAGGCCAUCUCCCCAGAAGCCCUUCUUUCCUGCUGUUUGGAACACUGGCCUCAGGGAAGGGAUUGAGACUUGAACACCAUUGGGGGCUGUGGCCUCUGAGAUGCUACUUUCUCAUGUUGUGGAUAGUAUGAAUAAGGGGAUCUGGUGCCCACCAGGGGCAUGCCAGAGAGGAAAGAAAGAAACAGGAGCAAUGGAGAUGAGAGUAGGGUGUGUACCAAUAUGUCUCUCCCACCUUGAGAACCACUAAGAAAACCACCCAGAGGACAACAGAUGGAUAGAAAACUACAUUUUAAGCAGGAACCUUGCCCCGUUGAGGAAGGAGAAUAGAAAACACAAAUUGUGCUCUGCGAGCCCAUCUGGAGAAAACAGAAUACUGGAAUUAGCACAUAGAAACUGAUAAAGUGAAAAGAAGCUACGAGGGUUGGAGAAAUGGCUCAGAGGUUAUGAAAAUGUGCUACACUUCAGAGAACCCAAGUUCAAGUCCCAGCCCCUACAUCAGGCAACUCUUAAUCUCCUGGAACUCUGGCUUCAAGGAAAUCAAACAUCUCUGCCCUCUGUAGGCACCUAAAACCCCUGUGCACACAACCAGAGACACACGCUUACACAUUAGUAAAUAUAGUUCAAAAGAAAAC